CCUACGGGAGGCAGCAGUAGGGAAUCUUCCUCAAUGGACGCAAGUCUGACGGAGCAACGCCGCGUGAGUGAAGAAGGCUCUCGGUUCGUAAAGCUCUGUUGGUAGGGAAGAAAGAUUGUGUACGUAUUUUGCCUUUUAGUGACGGUACUUAACUAGAAAGUCACGGCUAACUACGUGCCAGCAGCCGCGGUAAUACGUAGGUGGCAAGCGUUGUCCGGAUUUAUUGGGCGUAAAGCGAGUGCAGGUGGUUUAAUAAGUCUGAUGUGAAAGCCCACGGCUCAACCGGGGAAUUGCAUCAGAAACUGUUGAACUUGAGUGCAGUAGAGGUAAGUGGAACGCCAGGUGUAGCGGUGAAAUGCGUAGAGAUAAGGAAGAACACCGGUGGCGAAGGCGGCUUUCUGGUCUGCAACUGACGCUGAGGCUCGAAAGCGUGGGUAGCAAACAGGAUUAGAUACCCUUGUAGUC
rnacentral:rRNA from 1 species